GGAAUAAAUUGCGCGGGCUGGACCUCUCGGGGUUACAGCCUUGCUGAAUUAUUCACCCUUGUCUUUUGCGUACUUCUUGUUUCCUUGGUGGGUUCGCCCACCACUAGGACAAACAUAAACCUUUUGUAAUUGCAAUCAGCGUCAGUAACAAAUUAAUAAUUACAACUUUCAACAACGGAUCUCUUGGUUCUGGCAUCGAUGAAGAACGCAGCGAAAUGCGAUAAGUAGUGUGAAUUGCAGAAUUCAGUGAAUCAUCGAAUCUUUGAACGCACAUUGCGCCCUUUGGUAUUCCAAAGGGCAUGCCUGUUCGAGCGUCAUUUGUACCCUCAAGCUUUGCUUGGUGUUGGGCGUCUUGUCUCUAGCUUUGCUGGAGACUCGCCUUAAAGUAAUUGGCAGCCGGCCUACUGGUUUCGGAGCGCAGCACAAGUCGCACUCUCUAUCAGCAAAGGUCUAGCAUCCAUUAAGCCUUUUUUUCAACUUUUGACCUCGGAUCAGGUAGGGAUACCCGCUGAACUUAAGCAUAUCAAUAAGCCCGGAGGAA
rnacentral:rRNA from 1 species